GAGCGGGCGAGGUUGCUUCGGUAACUGAGCUAGCGGCGGACGGGUGAGUAAAGCUUAGGAAUCUGCCUAUUAGUGGGGGACAACAUUCCGAAAGGGAUGCUAAUACCGCAUACGUCCUACGGGAGAAAGCAGGGGAUCACUUGUGACCUUGCGCUAAUAGAUGAGCCUAAGUCGGAUUAGCUAGUUGGUGGGGUAAAGGCCUACCAAGGCGACGAUCUGUAGCGGGUCUGAGAGGAUGAUCCGCCACACUGGGACUGAGACACGGCCCAGACUCCUACGGGAGGCAGCAGUGGGGAAUAUUGGACAAUGGGGGGAACCCUGAUCCAGCCAUGCCGCGUGUGUGAAGAAGGCCUUUUGGUUGUAAAGCACUUUAAGCGAGGAGGAGGCUUACCUGGUUAAUACCUGGGAUAAGUGGACGUUACUCGCAGAAUAAGCACCGGCUAACUCUGUGCCAGCAGCCGCGGUAAUACAGAGGGUGCGAGCGUUAAUCGGAUUUACUGGGCGUAAAGCGCGCGUAGGUGGUUAAUUAAGUCAAAUGUGAAAUCCCCGAGCUUAACUUGGGAAUUGCAUUCGAUACUGGUUAGCUAGAGUAUGGGAGAGGAUGGUAGAAUUCCAGGUGUAGCGGUGAAAUGCGUAGAGAUCUGGAGGAAUACCGAUGGCGAAGGCAGCCAUCUGGCCUAAUACUGACACUGAGGUGCGAAAGCAUGGGGAGCAAACAGGAUUAGAUACCCUGGUAGUCCAUGCCGUAAACGAUGUCUACUAGCCGUUGGGGGAUUUGAUCCUUUAGUGGCGCAGCUAACGCGAUAAGUAGACCGCCUGGGGAGUACGGUCGCAAGACUAAAACUCAAAUGAAUUGACGGGGGCCCGCACAAGCGGUGGAGCAUGUGGUUUAAUUCGAUGCAACGCGAAGAACCUUACCUGGCCUUGACAUAGUAGAGACUUUCCAGAGAUGGAUUGGUGCCUUCGGGAAU
rnacentral:rRNA from 1 species